UACGUAGGUGGCAAGCGUUGUCCGGAUUUACUGGGCGUAAAGAGCGCGCAUGCGGUCGGAUAAGUCGAAUGUGAAAGCCCCCGGCUCAACUGGGGAGGGUCAUUCGAUACUGUUCGACUCGAAGGCAGGAGAGGGAAGUGGAAUUCCCGGUGUAGUGGUGAAAUGCGUAGAUAUCGGGAGGAACACCAGUGGCGAAGGCGACUUCCUGGCCUGUUCUUGACGCUGAGGCGCGAAAGCUAGGGGAGCAAACAGG
rnacentral:rRNA from 1 species